CCUACGGGUGGCAGCAGUAGGGAAUCUUCCACAAUGGGCGCAAGCCUGAUGGAGCAACACCGCGUGAGUGACGAAGGGUUUCUGCUCGUAAAGCUCUGUUGUUGGAGAAGAACGUUCGUCCGGGUAACUGUUCACACAGUGACGGUAUCCAACCUGACAGUCACGGCUAACUACGUGCCAGCAGCCGCGGUAAUACGUCGGUGGCAAGCGUUAUCCGGAUUUAUUGGGCGUCAAGGCCGCGCAGGCGGGCGCUUAGGUCGGCUGUGAAAGCCUUCGGCUUAACCGCAGAAGUGCAUCGGAAACUGGAGGACUGGAGUGCAGAAGAGGAAAGUGGAACUCCAUGUGUAGCGGUGGAAUGCGUAGAUAUAUGGAAGAACACCAGUGGCGAAGGCGGCUGACUGGUCUGCAACUGACGCUGAGGCUCGAAAGCAUGGGUAGCGAACAGGAUUAGAUACCCUAGUAGUC
rnacentral:rRNA from 1 species